UUUUAUGGAGAGUUUGAUCCUGGCUCAGGAUGAACGCUGGCGGCGUGCCUAAUACAUGCAAGUCGAGCGAACGGACGAGAAGCUUGCUUCUCUGAUGUUAGCGGCGGACGGGUGAGUAACACGUGGAUAACCUACCUAUAAGACUGGGAUAACUUCGGGAAACCGGAGCUAAUACCGGAUAAUAUUUUGAACCGMAUGGUUCAAAAGUGAAAGACGGUCUUGCUGUCACUUAUAGAUGGAUCCGCGCUGCAUUAGCUAGUUGGUAAGGUAACGGCUUACCAAGGCAACGAUGCAUAGCCGACCUGAGAGGGUGAUCGGCCACACUGGAACUGAGACACGGUCCAGACUCCUACGGGAGGCAGCAGUAGGGAAUCUUC
rnacentral:rRNA from 1 species